CGGUUUCUAGUUUCUAUACCGAUGAAACUUCGAGUACCUCCGAAUGGCUGCUUUUCUGGCUCGCUAUCACCGGUGUUGACACCUUGAGAGCCGACGAUUCCUCCGAGGUAUGCUUCACUUCUCUGAGCAAAACAACCACUUCUCUCAUGGUUGGUCUUCCAGAUGGCUUGGAGUUCGUGCAAAGCAGUGCUAUCCCGAGAACUUGGAGCAUCUCCUGGACUUCGGGGUCGGGCAUUCCUUGCAUCCUCGGCUCGAGCACCUCCACCGCGGAAGCCGACGUCUUCAG
rnacentral:lncRNA from 1 species